rnacentral:rRNA from 1 species
AUUGAACGCUGGCGGAAUGCUUUACACAUGCAAGUCGAACGGUAACAGGUCUUCGGAUGCUGACGAGUGGCGAACGGGUGAGUAAUAUAUCGGAACGUGCCCAGUCGUGGGGGAUAACGUAGCGAAAGUUACGCUAAUACCGCAUACGAUCUACGGAUGAAAGCGGGGGAUCGCAAGACCUCGCGCGAUUGGAGCGGCCGAUAUCAGAUUAGGUAGUUGGUGGGGUAAAGGCUCACCAAGCCAACGAUCUGUAGCUGGUCUGAGAGGACGACCAGCCACACUGGAACUGAGACACGGUCCAGACUCCUACGGGAGGCAGCAGUGGGGAAUUUUGGACAAUGGACGCAAGUCUGAUCCAGCCAUUCCGCGUGCAGGAUGAAGGCCCUCGGGUUGUAAACUGCUUUUGUACGGAACGAAAAGGUUUCCAUUAAUACUGGGAGCUCAUGACGGUACCGUAAGAAUAAGCACCGGCUAACUACGUG